UACAGAGGGGGCAAGCGUUGUUCGGAAUUACUGGGCGUAAAGGGCGCGUAGGCGGCCUGCUAAGUCGAACGUGAAAUCCCCGAGCUCAACUCGGGAACUGCGUCCGAUACUGGCAGGCUUGAAUCCGGGAGAGGGAUGCGGAAUUCCAGGUGUAGCGGUGAAAUGCGCAGAUAUCAGGAGGAACACCGGUGGCGAAGGCGGGUCUCUGGGCCGAUACUGACGCUGAGGAGCGAAAGCGUGGGGAGCGAACAGG
rnacentral:rRNA from 1 species